rnacentral:lncRNA from 1 species
UCACUCACCCAGUAACCCACCCAACAAUGGAAGAGGCCACAGAUACACAUUCAUUCACAAGGGCAGCCUGUCGGAAGUGAGAUCAGAAGAGACACAUUCUGGCUCCUAGCAUUCCACAGAGCACAUGAUCAGGAGUGGUUUCUGCAGGAACUGGGUCUGCCACUUCCUGACGGGCCAGGCAACCGGCUGCCUUUCACCUCCGCGGCUCGGCAAUUACGUGGUGUAACGGAGGCAACGCAAAUAAGCAGAAAGAUUUUAUUAAACCAAAUGAGCAAAU